rnacentral:hammerhead_ribozyme from 1 species
AUCUAACUGAUGAGUCCCAAAAUAAGAGACGAAACGCGCAUCCUGGAU